GUCUUCCCUGGAUCCACCAAAAGCUGUAAAUUUGCUAUUGAAAAAUACAUUGCUUUUUUGUCGUCUCACUUAUUUAUGUAUGUCUUCCGAACCGAUGGAUAAUAAGCGUGAGAUUGGGAAAAUGAGUAAACGGCGAAAACCUUCAUUUAAUUAUGCAGCGACCAAACGUUGGAGUAAAACGCCUCGCCAGCUGCCACUUACCAGCUCAAAAACGACUGAUAUUAUCGUGUUGCUCAUGAUAGCCUUUCUGGUCGUCAUCGCUACAACCAGUACAGAUGCUUCCAACUAGUUUAAUACUCAAGGACUUAAUUUCUCGCAUGAGCCGCCAUCGCGCAUCGAAUUUACCAACAAAGCUGGCAGCAUUGCCGAUUGCAUAACGCAUGAUAAUCCACCGCCAAAUGUCGAAUGACUGGACAAGGACAAUAAUCCGAUCAUCUCGAUAUCAAGGGUCCGUCAUAUGCUCGCUAACGGUUCACUCUAUUUCCCCUCCUUCGAGCGGAAGAGUUUCGUCAAGAUGUUCAUUGGUCCGUGUAUCAUUGUAUGGCCGGCAUUGCAGUGGGUACAAUUGUUUCUCGUGACGUUCUGAUCAAAG